GGGUUCUCUCUGAAUGAUAGAAUUAUCAUUUAUCGUAUGAUGACUCUAUUGUACUAUCUGAUGAUGGUUGGAUUGAUCGAGCCAUCCUCGGAUCUGAUCAUUCAUUAGUUAGAAAUACUGAGUAGGUUCAUGUUAAUAGUUUGACCUAACCAGAACUUUUAGUGAAGGCCCAUCGCCUACUGAAAUAAAAUCUGAGGCAAAAUUAAUUAUUAAAAAUUAUUUAAAAAAAUAAUUGAUUGAGAACCUAUCCAUAGAUGCAUAUGGAUUGAUCGAGCCAUCCUCGAACUUGUAUGC
rnacentral:lncRNA from 1 species